rnacentral:rRNA from 1 species
UACGUAGGGUGCGAGCGUUAAUCGGAAUUACUGGGCGUAAAGCGUGCGUAGGCGGUUCGCUGUGUCCGAUGUGAAAGCCCCGGGCUUAACCUGGGAAUGGCAUUGGAAACUGGCGGGCUUGAGUGCGGCAGAGGGGGGGUGGAAUUCCGCGGUGUAGCAGUGAAAUGCGUAGAGAUGCGGAGGAACACCGAUGGCGAAGGCAGCCCCCCUGGGUCGACACUGACGCUCAGGCACGAAAGCGUGGGGAGCAAACAGG